AUACGGAGGAUGCGAGCGUUAUCCGGAUUUAUUGGGUUUAAAGGGUGCGUAGGCGGUUUUUUAAGGCAGCGGUGAAACGCAAGGGAUCAAACCUUGACCUGCCGUUGAAACUGGAGGGCUUGAAUGCGGAUGCUGUGGGAGGAAUGUGUGGGGUAGCGGUGAAAUGCAUAGAUAUUACACAGAACACCGAUUGCGAAGGCAUCUCACAAAUCCGUGAUUGACGCUGAGGCACGAAAGUGUGGGGAUCAAACAGGAUUAGAUACCCUGGUAGUCCACACUGUAAACGAUGAUGACUCGCUGUCGGCGAUAUACAGUCGGUGGCCAAGCGAAAGCGAUAAGUCAUCCACCUGGGGAGUACGACCGCAAGGUUGAAACUCAAAGGAAUUGACGGGG
rnacentral:rRNA from 1 species